AAGGCCUUGUUAACGACUGAUUGUGAUAAAAGGCAGCAGUAGGAUGAGUUGGAACAAGUAGAACUCCGCCAUCACCCAAGACUUCCUGUGUGUGAAUAAUACAAAGGAGUAACAUUUAAAUUUCAUCUGUAAAAGACAAUGGAUGAGAUGAUGGAGGACACAGUUUUUCCAAGAAUCCCAUAGCAAGGGCAAACAAAGUGUGGUCACACUUGCCAAUACAAAACUUAAGAAAUUCUGCUACCAGUGAAAUUUGGCCCUGGUCAGACAUGUUGGGAAAAUCCAAUUCAGCAACAAAUGGUGGAUUACCAGCUGAGGUCAUUUUGACGGACCACAUUUCCAUUGCAUGAUACAAUAGAGGCAGUUUCAACUGGUGACGAUGGAAUAGAUACAUUGUAAGUGUCCCGGAUAUGGUGAACUACUUUUCUCUGAGCCUUCUUUAAAUCUGGAUGAACACGACUUAGCAGAGGAUUCUUUCCAAAGUGUUCCAUGUAAAAGUAACGUAUUUUGGACAAGGAAACCUGUUUGGUAAUAAUUUAAAUGAUUCGUGAAACAUUACCUGCAUGUUUUUGUGCCAAUCACAGACAUACUUUGUUCAAUGUACCUUUUUAUCCAGGUUAAGCUGCUUGACGUUAUCACCAGCAAGAACCCGAUACAUUGGCAACAGAUCGCAGCAGAAACGGCUCAUUGGUCCGGUAACUAGAUAAGUCUGAAGAACUUUUUCAGCUACUGGUUGCUGCUCGUGAUUACUCACAAUUCCUGGAGUCAAAUAGGACGAAAAUCUUGCCAACAACGCAUCGUAAAUAUUACAACGUGAAAUUUUUUAACUGAACCUGACGUGGGUUUAUGCCCAAAGAUUCCGUUGAAGAAUGCCGGUAAGCGGAUCGAUCCACCAAUAUCGGAGCCUUUUGGAAAAUUGAAAUUUCUUCAACCAUUUCGUUCUGAACGCAUGUCUAAACUAAAUUACCGAUGCCAAAUGGGGAUCCAGCAGCUGCAAGCAGACCGGCCUUAUAAACCCAGAGAGAAUCAUCAAUGAACCUCCAACCGUUCUGUUAACAUCAUAAGGGUUGCGCGAUCGGCCGUACACGUUAUUAAGCGAUUCCCACCACAUGCACAUUUCCGGAACGUUCGUGAUAGCCAACAUAAUGGCUCCAGCCUUCUUCAUGAGAACCACAACAUCAGAAUCAAAUUCACCAAUAAUAUCCUUGCGUUUGACUAGGCCCGAUGUGUAAUGCAAUCCUAAACAUCUGCAAGUUAUUUCGUUUCGAAAGAAACAAACCAGUUUUUCCCAGUCUAUUUGUACCGGCCACAGAGAAACAAUCCUUAAUGGUGAAUGGAACUCCAAGAAAAGGAGUUUCCUCCUCAAGGCUUUUUUCAUCUUUUUUCCCAGACUGAAGCAAUAGGUCCACCUUCCGGGCCUCUUCCAGUGCCAGAUCGAACCGAUUGUCAACGACACAGUUGACGAUGGGGUUAACUGCUUCAAUUCUACGUAUAAAGGUCUUGACAACUUCCUCGCUCGUUAUCUAUUAAAAUGAACUUAAAUUUCAGAAGUUGAAUUCAUUUACAUUUAAAUUAACGAAUGAACAGGAACUAGUUUCA